rnacentral:rRNA from 1 species
ACACGUAGGAUUCAAACGUUAUCCGGAUUUACUGGGCGUAAAGCGCGUGCAGGCGGUUUGGUAAGUUGGGUGUUAAAUCUCCGGGCUCAACCCGGAGUCGUCGCCCAAAACUACUAAACUAGAGGAUGGUAGAGGGAAGUGGAAUUCCGGGUGUAGCGGUGAAAUGCGUAGAUACCCGGAGGAACACCAGUGGCGAAGGCGGCUUCCUGGGCCACUCCUGACGCUAAGACGCGAAAGCUAGGGGAGCGAACGGGAUUAGAAACCCCGGUAGUCCUAGCCGUAAACGAUGUAGACUAGGUGUUGGUGGUGUGAAAGCCAUCAGUGCCAUAGCUAACGCAAUAAGUCUACCGCCUGGGGAUUACGAUCGCAAGAUUAAA